AGCGGAGUUGUGUUAGGUUGGAGAGAAUCACUCCGACACAUCCGCGGCGGGCAUCUCGGUUUACAAAUUACAGCACACACCCCAAAAUACUGUUC